rnacentral:rRNA from 1 species
AUUGAACGCUGGCGGCAUGCUUUACACAUGCAAGUCGAACGGUAACAGCACUUCGGUGGCUGACGAGUGGCGAACGGGUGAGUAAUACAUCGGAACGUGCCUAGUAGUGGGGGAUAACUACUCGAAAGAGUAGCUAAUACCGCAUGAGAUCUAAGGAUGAAAGCAGGGGACCUUCGGGCCUUGUGCUACUAGAGCGGCUGAUGGCAGAUUAGGUAGUUGGUGGGAUAAAAGCUUACCAAGCCGACGAUCUGUAGCUGGACUGAGAGUACGACCAGCGACACUGGGGCUGGGACACGGCCCCGACUCCUACGGGAGGCAGCAGAGGGGAAUUUUGGACAAUGGGGGCAAGCCUGAUCCAACAAUGCCGCGUGCAGGAUGAAGGCCUUCGGGUUGUAAAAUGCUUUUGUGGGGAAAGAAAAGCCCUCUUCUAAUACAAGAGGGUCGUGACGGUACCGUAAGAAUAAGCACCGGCUAACUACGUG